UAGCCAGGGCGGGAGAGGACGUCUCUCUCUGCUUCAGAGCGGUUUGCCCUGUCACUUUGCCUAAAUGGAGCUGGGACUUGGCCGGCUGAGGAGACGGUUCUCUCCCUUCUAGCUCACCUCAGUGUCCUUGAUGACCAACUGAAUCCACUUUUUAUAUAAAAUGGAUCCUGACAGAGAAUUAGGAAUACUACUGGAUAGAAAAACAAAGAAAGAAAAGGUUCAGGAAAGAAUUGCAAGGAAAAGUAAAUCUUUACAGAAAAAAAGUGUCAGAAGAAAGCAAACUGAAGAUGACAUACAUGUUGAUAGAAAACAAAAAGAAACCCCGGACCAAAAUCCACAGGAAGCUGUGGCUGUAGAAGAAAAACAAAGUAGAUUAACUGAAGUAUUACGGGAUAGAGUGAGAGGGAAGUUGAGAACUGUUAAGGCUGAACAAGAAGAAAAAUCUUUCGACAAACCCUACUCCGAUACUAAAGAAAACCAACACAACUCUGAUGUGAGCACUGAGAAUGAAGUCUCCUUUGAUGAAGGUUUUAUAUUUUUUACAUCAACUUUUGAAGAUUACUCAAAGCUGAAAGAAACUGAUCAGGUCAUUGACCAGAAAUCUAUAAAUGACAGCCUUCAAAAUGUCUGUGGCUUAAAUGAACAAACUCCUUUGCUUGAUCAUGUGAGAGAAAUACUACUACCAGAACUGCUUGAAGUAAAACCACCUGAGUGUGAAUGCAGUAAUCUCGAUAAGCAAAAGCAAUGGGACCAACAACUUUUUCUGCCAAGCACUUCCCCGGUUAUACAGAGCUGUAAAUUGCCAGACAAUAUGGCACCACGAUUCCUAGAAGAUGAAGGAUUUUAUAUUCCAAGAAAGCCUCGUGUAUCUAGGAAUACAUACUACAAAAUGGAAAACCGUCUUCUUCAGCAAGAUGGGGGGAAAAACUGGUUUGAAGAAAGCGGAGAAAUAAUGUCAUUGCCUUCUCCAAUCAAACCAUCAAGUUACUACAGAGUGUUUUUUCCUUCUGAGAUUGACCCACGAUUAAAGACAACAUACAGGAAGGCAAUGCAACCUCAACUGGAAAACUGCAUCAUAACUAAGUCAGAGGAACAGAGCAAAAUUUAUCAACUGGAUCUUAACAUAUCAAGUAUUGUGUUUAGCCAUCAUUUUUUUUUCAACUGUGAACAAGUACUGGCUGCCAGGUUGCUUGACCUUUAUGACUGCUUUCAACAACGGCAGCAGCAAAACGUUACUCUCUUGCUAUCUGAAAAACUCAAAGCAUUAAUAAGUUCCACAAAAUUACUGGAAAGUAACUUAAAAACAAGUGAGCUAAGUACGAAAACUUUGAAGGAUUACAGAUCACAAAUAAGAAAUACCAGAAUAUUACAUGAUAUAGAACACCAAAGAGAUAAAUGCUUAAUACAAAGUAUUAUGAAAGUAUGGAAACAAAUAAAAUCUCUACGGAGACAGCAAGGAUUUGUUAGUUCUACUGUCAGGCUGCAAUUUCAAAAGCUGACAUAUAUCUCAGAACUUGAUGAAUUCGAAGGCAACAUAUCAGAAGAGAAUGAAAAUGCUCCAAGAGACGAAAGAUAUACUGAUUUAUCAAACAAAUUUUCAGCAGCUGGAAGAAGACAGAAGGGAUGCUUGGAUUCAGCUCAUACCUUCCAAACCGCAAUGGACAUCGGAGGGAUAAAUGAACCUCUUUUGGUACCACAUCUUACCUUUGUAACAGAAAUAACAGCAGACGACAUGUGCCCUCUAGAUGAACAACAGAGAAGAGAAAAAGUCAAAAUGGAAAAAUACUUUAUUAAAAUAUAUUACAACAAUAAAUUGGUCUCCUCUACUUCCGAAGCGCCUCUUCACCAGGAUUUUAAAGUAAUAUUUCAGCAAAUUUUUAGAAUUCAAGUAUUAAACUGGCCUGAAUCUCUUCGAUUAGAGAUAUUUGAAUCAAGUAAAAAACCGACUUUGUUGGCCAAAGUGUACUUACCUCUUCCCAAUAAUAUUACAUUGAAAAGCAAAGAUGUUUUGGAGGAGGCAGAGUUUAGUUGUGAACAACAAGUUAAACCUUCCAAUGGGGCAGUGGGAAGCAAUGUACCUUUUUUCCUUGAUGAAAAGGAAAGAGAAGAACUAUGUAUUCUGACAUCAGGAAAAUUAAUGUAUUCUUUAUCUUGGACAGUUGAUGACACAGGAGCUCCUUUAGCACCCACAUUUCAGCCCCUUCAUGUUGCCUGCAUUAGUGUGCCAAGGUGUAUUGAUUCAGGAAAAGGAACUGGAAUUUGGCAACAUUAUGACAUACAGAAACUAAUUGAGUGGGCAAAAGAAGCCAAUAUUGAUCCAAAUAACCCUGAUUAUUUGGAUUUGAUUGAGAUAAUCAUGUAUACAAAAUCCUUGGAGCAAAAUGAAUCAAAAUACUUUCGCCUUGAACAGCUGCAAGAAGAAUUUAACUUUGUUACUGCAGAAGAGAUUACAAAUUGUAAACGUUUCCAGCUGUUGCAGCUGAGAAGCUUGGGACAGUUAGAUUUCUAUGGUUUCCAGCAAAUUCCUCUGUAUGACAGAGAAAUACCAGACACAGUCUUUCAGGCAUAUGGGAACCAGUUAGAAAAGGACAUGAUGACAGAUGCAGAUCCUAUUUCUGCACGAAGGAAUAGUUCAGCCACUUUUGUUAGGAUGAUGAGAAAACAAGCUACAAAACGAAUUGUGACCAUUAGGCACAAGUUUAACUUAUCAGAUAUUGUGAAUGAUUAUGAAGAAAUUAUAUCUAUGAGUGAAUUGAGUAAUGCAAUUUUCAAGCUAGGUGAACGCAAAAGACAUUUGAAACCACAAAGGAGAGAGAGGCGAAAGAUCCCAGCACAGGCUGUCUCUGAUGGAGAUGUAAAACUUCUCAUCAGAAUAUUGAGAGCCUAUAAUAUUCCUGCAAGAAAGGCACCACCAACUAAGGUUGGAGUUGCUAAUUCACCAUCCUAUUUACCAAAUCGUAUGUCCAGAGGCAGACAUAUUUUGUCAGGAAAUUCAGCCUAUUCAGGAGACCCUUUGUAUGAGGUGGGUGUCCACCCUUUUGUAGAAGUUACCUUCCAGGACACAAUCUAUCAAACUAGCACUGCUGAUGGCUCUCAUCCAUGCUGGAACGAAGAACUGCAAGUUGAUUUUAUCUCUCCAGGACAUGAUUAUACUUUUUCAGGGCUAUCUAAGAUCAAAGACAAUAUAAAUAUUAACAUUUUUGAUGAAUUUGUGAUUGAAAAGCAUGAGGACACAUGUCCAAAAAACUGCAGUGGUCACUCCUAUGUAAGAAAGAAUUGGCUUGGAUCAGUUAUGUUUCCUUUCUCUACACUCCUGGAGCAAUCAAAGAUUUGUGGUACAUUUCAAGUAAAUAUGCCACCGGUUUUGCUUGGAUAUACUUGGAGUAAGACAUAUGUGCCUCCCAAAGAAGAAUGUCAUGGCCAGAACUUGAAGGAAUAUACUUUUUUAACCAUCUUUGCCACUAUUGAACCUCAAAUAUCUUCUACUGAAAAUAAUUUAGAAUCAGACAAGUUCAUAGAUCAUGAAGAUCAAACACUGUUGCAAAAAGCAUACGUUUUUAAGCAAACAUGCAAAGCAUUGUUUCCAAAGAGGAGAAUAAUAACCUCAGCUUUUAACAAUCAAGGAAGAAAUAUUUUAGUAACAAAGUACAUUACCUCUCUGAAUCCACCUCAGCAGUUAUUAGAUAUGUGUGCUGAUGAGCCUAACUCAACUUCUGAUCUUAUAUCACGAUUUGUGUCUUUAAUUCCUUGUAUAUCAGACACUGGGGAUGAAAAUGAUGAUGUUGAUCUUUGGAUGACAUCAGAGAAUUUCCUUGAACUUGGUAUUGGUAGUAAAGAAGAACAUGCAGUGCUUCUAUGUAACUACUUUCUGUAUAUUGGGAAAAAAGCAUGGGUACUGUUGGGAACAUCAGUGUUAGAAGGGAAAGUAGCUUAUGUAGCAACACAAGAAAAUGGAGAGUAUUUUCUGUGGAAUCCACUGAGUGGCCAGUGCUAUAAGCAAUUUGAUGCAUUUUGCCCUCUACAGAGUGUUGAUUGCUUAAUCAGCUGGGAAAAUGUCUGGUUCAACAUACAGCAGAACAGUUCACCAAUGUGUGUCAGUUUUGAUAUUUCAAAGGAAAGCUUAUGGAAACAGUUUCUUCCAUACCAUGUUCAGGAUUUAAAAAUGCAGACCGUACAGGUGACAAAUAUUUCAAAAAGUACUUACCUUGCGAGUGACUUGCCCAGUGGGGCAGAGCCUCACUGGAUGAGCCUACAUAUUACAUAUUGUGGUAAGAAGGAAAGAAGAAUUUGAGCUAGAAUUCUGCUUUAAAAAACUGCAAGUUGCUCUGAUACCGGAGAGCUGUGUGUGCAUUUAAAUCAGGGGUGAGGAACCUCCAUGUCACAGGCCUAAUUAGACCCACCAAGACUCUCAGUUUGGUCUAUGGAGCUAUUUUGGGCAAACCACACCUACCUGUCAGUCAAAAGGCAUCAAACACAAAAAUAAUGCGAGCCUUUGUUGUACAAAGCAGUUUAGCAGGGGCACUCAAAAAGGGUGGUCUUCAACAUCAUUCAAUCAACUUUAGGUCAGUGUAGAAGACACAGGUGUUUACUAUUUAAUAGAGACCAUCAUAGGAUGGAAUGCUGGAUUGUAGAAAUUCUGUUUCCACAUCUCAAAAUUAGCUUUGAGCCUUGCAUCCUGGAACAUGAAUCUAUAUUUCAAGAAUACAACUUGAAUUUACUAAUAUAUAUCUCGGUAAUUUUUCUUCCUUUCCUUAACAACAUUUAUACAUGGCUUAACCUCAAAACAGUUUACAUAAAAUAGUAUACAAUAUUCAUAAGGAAAUAACCAUAAAACCAGCAGACUUUAAAAAUAAGUAGACAGAUUGUGUCCACAUGGAAACAGACAGUUCAAUUCUUUACUGUCGGCAUAGCUCAGUCAGUAGAGCCUGAGACUCUUAUUCUCAGGGUCAUGGGUUUGAGUUGGGCAAAGGAUUCCUGCAUUAAAGGGGGUUGGACUAGAUAAUGCUCGUGAUUCCUUCCAGCUCUACAAUUGUAUGGUUCUAUAAUUCUUUUAGGAGGAAAGAAACAUGCAGUCUCAUGGAAUCUGGAACCGGAACCACAGGCUAAUCCAACAUUUCCUCAUAGUGGGAAAACAGACGAGAGCUGAAGUUAGAGGGAGGUCUAUUGUCAAUUUUAUCUGUGCUCUCACUCCUCUCCCAUCAGUGUUAGCAUUUUUCUACACAGCUUCUCUCAUUAUUAAUCUCCAUACCACAAGCAAUAUUUAAUUGGUGCCAGUUAUACUUCAGGAAUCUCACUCCCUGACCAUCUUAUACGUUACAGCUGCAUUUUCCUUGUAACGUAUGGUGUGCUUUGUAUCAAAAAACUGUGAUACCUUCAGAAAAUCGUUCCAGAUCCUGCUUAAUGUGUAUCUGUAUAUAUUGUACAAUAUCUGUUUUAGCAAGAAGAACUAUUUUACACCCCAACUGAUGUAAGUUUAGUCAUGGAGCUACAAAAUAGGUAUGUACUUUAAACAACAUUCUUUCAAAUAACUUUUAAAGUUUAGGAGCUUUGGAUCAAACUACAUGCUAUGUUAAUAAUGGUAGUGUUUUUUUUAAAGCAUUUAAUGUUACCACUCUUAUUUUCAAAGAAAAGCAGCAGGCUGUAGUUAUAUCAUAUCAUAUCAUAUUGUGGUAGGAAAUACCAUAGUUUAAAUAUGCAUUGUGUGAAGAAGUGAUUCUUCUUGUCUGUUCUAAUCUUCCACUGUAUAAUCCUCUGUUCUAGUAUUAUGAGAAAGGCCUGAACUCAGACUGAAAAGAGUCUAUGUAAUACACCAUCACCACCCUGUCAAGCAUCUUCCAUAAAAAAGAAAACAGUGAAAUACUAUUCUAGGUCCAAGAUUUGUUUCAUUUUUGAUGUCCUCUACUUUGGGCUAAUGAAGGUGAUGAAUGGUUGGUGAAAGACCCCGUGUGAGAGGCAGGCAAGGGAAGAUCUCCCAGGGAUUGAAAAGACUUUGAAAAAGAAAUUUAUGGAAUGGCGAUCUCAGCAGCCAACUCGGUGGCAUCGACAGUGUACCAGUGUCUUACGACAAAUUCUCUCAAAUCU